UGGGGAAUAUUGCACAAUGGAGGGAACUCUGAUGCAGCGACGCCGCGUGAACGAAGAAGGCUUUCGAGUCGUAAAGUUCUUUUAUAUGGGAAGAUAAUGACGGUACCAUAAGAAAAAGCCCCGGCUAACUACGUGCCAGCAGCCGCGGUAAUACGUAGGGGGCUAGCGUUGUCCGGAAUCACUGGGCGUAAAGGGUUCGCAGGCGGAAAUGCAAGUCAGGUGUAAAAGGCAGUAGCUUAACUACUGUAAGCAUUUGAAACUGCAUAUCUUGAGAAGAGUAGAGGUAAGUGGAAUUUUUAGUGUAGCGGUGAAUUGCGUAGAUAUUAAAAAGAAUACCGGUGGCGAAGGCGGCGUACUGGGCUCAUUCUGACGCUGAGGAACGAAAGCGUGGGUAGCAAACAGG
rnacentral:rRNA from 1 species